rnacentral:rRNA from 1 species
UACGUAGGGGGCAAGCGUUGUCCGGAUUUAUUGGGCGUAAAGAGCGUGUAGGCGGCUUGGUAGGUCCGCUGUGAAAACUCGAGGCUCAACCUCGAGAUGUCGGCGGAAACCACUUGGCUAGAGUCCGGAAGAGGAGAGUGGAAUUCCCGGUGUAGCGGUGAAAUGCGCAGAUAUCGGGAAGAACACCUAUGGCGAAGACAGCUCUCUGGGACGGUACUGACGCUGAGACGCGAAAGCGUGGGGAGCGAACAGG